GACAGAGGGGGCAAGCGUUGCUCGGAAUCACUGGGCGUAAAGGGCGCGUAGGCUGGAUGGCAAGUCAGUCGUGAAAUCUCUCGGCUCAACCGAGAAACGUCGGCUGAUACUGCCGUUCUUGAGGGAUGCAGAGGAGACUGGAAUUCCCGGUGUAGCGGUGAAAUGUGUAGAGAUCGGGAGGAACACCGGUGGCGAAGGCAGGUCUCUGGGCUGACACUGACGCUCAUGCACGAAAGCGUGGGGAGCAAACAGG
rnacentral:rRNA from 1 species